rnacentral:lncRNA from 15 species
CACAUGAUCCCAGAAAUCCAUGCACACACUGAUGCAAGUCAGAGAGAGGAGCCAACUGAGGGAUGUUUCUCAAACGUUUAAUGACAUCACAGCAGUCACAUUGGAAACACUUUCAGCAGAGCUGUCUGGUAACCUCUGAACACCCACUGCAUGCACUGUACUAAAUGCGAUGCCAUCUGAGUGACUGUGGCAUGCCAGUCAGAGUCUGGCGAGAGUUGAAAGCAUGGAGGUCACAUGGGCUCUCUGUGUUUCCAAGUACUACGGACCGACUGAACCACAACAUGUCUAGGUUAAAAUAUCACAUGUCAUUGCCUGUGGCAGUGGGUGUCAUGUUGGUGGGGCUCCCAUACUCUAUCUCUCUUGCUGCUCAAUGGAUUUAUGGUUGGCCCAACAAGCCUGGAUAUAAGAAGUACAUAGAAGCACUAAAACCAAGGCGGAUAUACUGCUUGACCAGAGCUGUGCUGGAAACGGUCAAAUAUCUGCAAUAUGGGAGACUUUACUUUCAGUGGAAGUUAUGGUACAGGAAUGACGAAAACCGUAAGCAUUAUGAAAAGGGCAUCCCAUUUGGUCGCAGAAGCAAUAAGCUGGACUUGUACCACCCUCCAAACAUGGGCAGGUCCAAAGAUGUGCCUGCACCUUUGGUGGUUUUCAUCUACGGAGGUGCAUGGGGCUCCGGCGAAAGAUCCAUUUACUGUUUGCUGGCCAGGCAGAUGGCUGAGGAACUGAGUGCAACAGUCAUUUGUCCUGAUUACAGCACCUAUCCAAAGGGGAACGUUUUAGGGAUGGUCCAAGAUAUUGCUGACUGCUUGGUUUGGGCCCAAGAGAGUGGACCGAAGUUCAACUUUGACAAAGACAACAUAGUGUUGAUUGGCCACUCCGCGGGUGCACAUUUGUGUGCACUGACCACGCUGUUUCUCAUUGAUGCAAGAGAGGAGCUUUUCAUAGAGGCCAGCAAGCAGAGGGACGUUACACUGGCGAUCAGAGGAGUCAUUGGUCUGAGCGGCGUUUACAACAUCAUGGACCAUUAUGAGCACGAGCAGAAGCGAGGAGUCGAAUAUGUCUCCACCAUGCACAAAUCCAUGAAUGGAGUGGAGAACUUCCCCUACUACUCACCAACACACUUACUGGAGAACUUGAGCCAGGACAAACUGAGCAGAGUGCCUCCGUUCGCUUUGCUCCACGGGACCAGUGACAUUAUCGUUCCCGUUGAAUCUUCCACAAAGCUCUCUGAGCUCCUCACCUCGCUGUCUGUAAAGGUGUCGCUCUACAUGCUGCCCAGAGUUGACCACACAGAGAUGGUCACUGACCUCAUGGCGCCAGACAGGCACUUCUACCAUCCCAUCUACAGCUGCAUCAAACAGGAGUACAGAAAUUUUUUGGAAACCUGCUGAUGUCCCAUCAGAUCAGAAAAACAUUCAUUCAUCACUAAUAUUAACUGAUUGUGCCAUACACUUACUUUGUUUACAGUAUCUGCUUUAAUACUUCAUAAAUUUUUUGUGAUUCCAUAAUAAUGAUUUAUAUUUUGUACAGUUCUGUGAUUGUAAUCCAGGAGUUACUUCUAAUUUAUUUUUAAUCUGUAAUCUGAAAAAAGCUUUCUAAAUUAACUGCAAUCCGGAGAACAUCAUUGUAAUGAUGUAGAGAUAUUAUCCAGAUUGUAUUUGUGAAGCAAUAACAGUAUUAUGAGAAAGGAGUAAAGCACAUUAAUACAUACAUAGUAUUGAAAUGUGAGUCCAAUUAUCAAAACUGUACUUAAAUCAAAACAUUUUGAUUCAUUAACAUGGAUGUUAUUACCAAAUGAAGCUUUUACUUGAUUUAUUGUAACAUUGUAACUUGAAUAACUAUUUAUUGAUCCUGGACACAUUAAACCCACCAGAAAGAACUGAUAGAUUUAUUUGCCUUUUGUAUUUAUUAACUUACUACAAAUCUCUCACACAUAGGGGAUAUUAUACAUGUAUAUUUUGAUAAGCAGGAGCAAUUACAGCAUGUACCAAUAUAAACAUUCUUCAAAAAUCUUCUAUUUUGUAAAAUGCCCAAUUUUAUGUUUUAUACAUGGAAGUACAGUGUUUGUCUUUACCACAUGCUUGUACCAUAAGUUUUGUAUCUGAAUGCAUUAUGCAUGCUUAACUACAAUAGUAAACUCAUAACAUCAGUAUGGUAAUAAUCUGGUAGAAAAUAUAAAUAUACAUAGCUACAGUGUAUACAAAUCUGUGGAAGCAGGUUAUAUCAUGUUAGACAAAUUCAGUAUAAGCAUUUGAUUAUAUAUUUUACAACAUAAUUUUCCUUUAGAGAUUAUAAUGUGUGAGUGGGCUCACACUAUUAUAUUAUAUAUAUAUAUAUAUAUAUAUAUAUAUAUAUAUAUAUAUAUUAUUAUAGUUGUAGAUUUAACUAUAUAUAUAUAUAUAUAUAUAUAUAUAUAUAUAUAUAUAUAGUUGUAGAUUUAACUAUAUAUAACUAUAUAUAGUUAAAUCUACAACCUUUUUCCAUUGGACUUUUCCAUGGUAGUGGAACUACCAUAGUACUUAUUGAUAAUAAUAAUAAUACUAUUAUUUUACCCUUUUGUAAAUUUUCACACAACUUGGUGUCUGGAAGAAUGUUGUAUUUAAUAAAAUGUGUAUAAAAUAAAUCAAUUUACCUUCCCAGCUUUAUUUACAUUUCCUUUCGACUUAAAAAGAAACUGCAAAAUCCCCAUAAUAUAUCAAAACAAUAUAUUUAUGUUUUUAUUAAAAUAAAAUGGUGAACUAUAGCCUAGCUGCUCUGUAAAUUUGAGUUAAAAAUGCUAAAUAAAUGUUUCACAGUAACCAAAUGAGUGAACUAGAAAAAAGCUGCCGGAAUUGAUGAAGCCUUUAAGCUUUAAGUGAAUAAUAUUUCAGUAAUAUUUUUUAAUAAUUUAAUAAACUUGAUUCAUUUGGUUGGUACUUACGUGACAUUUAAUAAAAGCUCAUCCAAGUCAGGUUAAUUAAGACCUCUUUAAAAGUCUUAUUUCCACAUGCUGCUGUUGAAUUUUCCCCAUCGUCUUCUAGCUUUUAUUUUGAAAACUGAGAUUAUUUUGCGCACACACACACACACACACACUCACGCACGAGGCGGAGUUUAGCGAGGACCUACAUCGGAGCCUCAGCUCAUUUGAAGCUGUGCCGCAUAGCUUCUCACACACUCAUUCUGGUCCUUUAGUGGAGGGGGUUACCUGAAACAGUUUGUCGGUACCGAAGCGUGAAGAAGUGAAAACAGGUGUGUAAAUAUGUAAGUGCGCAGUCCGCCAACACCAGCGUUUUCCACCGGGAGAAUAAAGAUGGACUCUGUUGUGAAAAACACCCAGAAGAAGUUGUGGCUCCGCGGUCUGCUUUGGUGGUCGCUCCUGCUCGAGCUGACGUCGGGAGGUAACAAUGCAACUUUUCCACUUUUUCUUUUUCUUUUUCAAUGAAAACAAGAUAAACAGAUACAGAUAGACGUAUUUAACGGCGCGUGCAAUGGAGAUUUUGUUAAUACUGUAACCGUAUCCUUAAAUUAUUGAUUAACUUUGGCGAGUUUCUUCCACUGUUCGCAGUUUACUGACUUAAUUCCACCCUGAAGGCUACUUGCCAGGUUAUAACUACCACCUCGGUGGUCAUAAACAUGAUCAUUUACCUCUUUUUGUUUUCCCCUGGCUGUGAUUUCCUUCAGGCUACAGCACUAUUUAUGUGUCUCCAAAAGCAGGCUCAGUAUCACUUUACAGAGGAUUGUUGUGUGUGUGUAUGUGUGUGUGUGUGUGUGUGUUUGUGUGUUUGUACGUGCUGUUGUAGUGGUUAACAGGGUUAACAUGUUAACCUCAGUCUAACACCUAAAUAUUGAAUGAGGACAAGGGCUGGUCCAGCAGCAUCAACAGAGACUCACUUUUUAGAUAUUUAAAUCAGAAGAUUAUGCAUGAUGGUUUUUAAAUUAAUGAGGCUAAUAACAUCAGUGUUAAGCUCAUAUAAAUGACUGGCACUAGACUUUGGAUAAUCUGUGCAUGCAUGGUGCACACACAGGAUAUUAGAGGCAGCGGCAGAAAUGGGACUGAUGCCCACUGCACUGGAAGAGCUAUCUGACUGUGACAAUGGCACUCAAGUGAAAUCAUAGAAAUGGACAGUCACUGUUGUGUUGAUAGUUGUUGAUAAGGAGGGAAAUAUGUGUUUUUUUUUUGUGAGUUACAGCUUCAGAUGUGCAUUAUUUAAACCCAUGUGUGCAUUCAUUAGCCUCUCUGGUUGAUUUGAUCCUGGGCAUGUGUCAUCUUAUUCAGCGUUCACCCAGGCUUUGCCCCUGGAAAUAAUCA